UACGUAGGGUGCGAGCGUUGUCCGGAAUUAUUGGGCGUAAAGAGCUUGUAGGCGGUUUGUCGCGUCUGCUGUGAAAAUCCGGGGCUCAACCCCGGACUUGCAGUGGGUACGGGCAGACUAGAGUGUGGUAGGGGAGACUGGAAUUCCUGGUGUAGCGGUGAAAUGCGCAGAUAUCAGGAGGAACACCGAUGGCGAAGGCAGGUCUCUGGGCAUUAACUGACGCUGAGGAGCGAAAGCAUGGGGAGCGAACAGGA
rnacentral:rRNA from 1 species